rnacentral:rRNA from 1 species
GACGUAGGGUGCAAGCGUUGUCCGGAUUUAUUGGGCGUAAAGAGCUCGUAGGCGGCUUGUUGCGUCGACUGUGAAAACCCGCGGCUUAACCGCGGGCUUGCAGUUGAUACGGGCAGGCUAGAGUUCGGUAGGGGAGACUGGAAUUCCUGGUGUAGCGGUGAAAUGCGCAGAUAUCAGGAGGAACACCGGUGGCGAAGGCGGGUCUCUGGGCAUUAACUGACGCUGAGGAGCGAAAGCAUGGGGAGCGAACAGG